GGAUAACCUACCCUUAGGACUGGGAUAACCCUGGGAAACUGGGGAUAAUACUGGAUAGGCAAUUAUUCCUGUAAUGGUUUUUUUGUUUAAAUGUUUUUUCGCCUAAGGAUGGGUCUGCGGCCGAUUAGGUAGUUGGUUAGGUAAUGGCUUACCAAGCCUUUGAUCGGUACGGGUUGUGAGAGCAAGAGCCCGGAGAUGGAACCUGAGACAAGGUUCCAGGCCCUACGGGGUGCAGCAGGCGCGAAACCUCCGCAAUGUGAGAAAUCGCGACGGGGGGAUCCCAAGUGCCAUUCUUAACGGGAUGGCUUUUCAUUAGUGUAAAGAGCUUUUGGAAUAAGAGCUGGGCAAGACCGGUGCCAGCCGCCGCGGUAACACCGGCAGCUCUAGUGGUAGCAGUUUUUAUUGGGCCUAAAGCGUCCGUAGCCGGUUUAAUAAGUCUCUGGUGAAAUCCUGCAGCUUAACUGUGGGAAUUGCUGGAGAUACUAUUAGACUUGAGAUCGGGAGAGGUUAGAGGUACUCCCAGGGUAGAGGUGAAAUUCUGUAAUCCUGGGAGGACCGCCUGUUGCGAAGGCGUCUGACUGGAACGAUUCUGACGGUGAGGGACGAAAGCUAGGGGCGCGAACCGGAUUAGAUACCCGGGUAGUCCUAGCUGUAAACGAUGCGGACUUGGUGUUGGGGUGGCUUUGAGCUGUCCCAGUGCCGAAGGGAAGCUGUUAAGUCCGCCGCCUGGGAAGUACGGUCGCAAGACUGAAACUUAA
rnacentral:rRNA from 1 species